AUGAAGUGGCUGCUGCUGCUGGGUCUGUGGCGCUCUCUGAGUGCAUCAUCUACAAGGUCCCCCUCGUCAGAAAGAAGUCCUUGAGGCGCAACCUGUCCGAGCAUGGCCCUGCUGAAGGACUUCCUGAAGAAGCACAACCUCAACCCAGCCAGCAAGUACUUCCCCAAGCGGAGGCGCCCACCCUGAUAGACGAACAGCCCCUGGAGAACUACCUGGAUGUGAGUGUUGGUAACUUCGGCACUAUCGGCAUCGGAACCCCUGCCCAGGAUUUCACCGUGAUCUUUGACACCGGAUCCUCCAACCUGUGGGUGCCCUCAGUCUACUGCUCCAGUCUCGCGUGCCAGUAAGUUCCCACCAACCACAACCUCUUCAACCCUCAGGAUUCCUCCACCUACCAGUCCACCAGCGGACACUCUCCAUCACCUACGGCACCGGCAGCAUGACAGCAUCUCGAUACGACACUGUCCAGGUUGGAGGCAUCUCGGACACCAAUCAGAUCUUCGGCUUGAGCGAGACCCGAACCGGCUCCUUCCUGUAUUAUGCUCCUUCGACGGCAUCCUGGGGCUGGCCUACCCCACAUUUCCUCGUCCGGGGCCCACACCCGUCUUUGACAACAUCUGGGACCAGGGCCUGGUUCUCAGGACCUCUUCUCUUUCUACCUGAGCGCGUAAGUUGGGAGUGGCAGCGUGGUGAUAUUUGGUGGCAUUGACUCUUCUUACUACACUGGAAGUCUGAACUGGGUUCCUGUUUCUGUCGAGGGUUACUGGAGAUCUCCGUGGACAGCAUCACCAUGAACGGAGAGGCCAUCGCCUGCGCUGAGGGCUGCCAGGCCAUGUUGACACCGGCACCUCUCUGCUGACCGGCCCAACCAGCCCCAUUGCCAACAUCCAGAGCGACAUCGGAGCCAGCGAGAACUCAGACGGCGAGAUGGUGGUCAGCUGCUCAGCCAUCAGCAGCCUGCCCGACAUCGUCUUCACCAUCAACGGAGUCCAGUACCCUUUGCCACCCAGUGCCUACAUCCUGCAGAGCCAGGGCAGCUGCACCAGCGGCUUCCAGGGCAUGGACGUCCCCACCGAAUCUGGAGAGCUUUGGAUCCUGGGUGAUGUCUUCAUCCGCCAGUACUUCACUGUCUUCGACAGGGCAAACAACCAGGUCGGCCUGGCUCCCGUGGCUUAAGCCCAGGUCUUUCCAGCCACCUCCCAGGAAGAUCUGACCUCCGUCCUCUGCCCACUUUAGAUGUAUCUAAUUCUCCUGACUGUCCUUCCCAGGGGAGUGUGGAGGUCUUGGCCCUGUUCCCUGUCUUACCAAUAAUGUAGAAUAAAAACAUAACCUGCUGAA